AUUGAACGCUGGCGGCAGGCCUAACACAUGCAAGUCGAGCGGAUGAAGGGAGCUUGCUCCUGGAUUCAGCGGCGGACGGGUGAGUAAUGCCUAGGAAUCUGCCUGGUAGUGGGGUAUAACGUCCGGAAACGGGCGCUAAUACCGCAUACGUCCUGAGGGAGAAAGUGUGGGAUCUUCGGACCUCACGCUAUCAGAUGAGCCUAGGUCGGAUUAGCUAGUUGGUGGGGUAAAGGCCUACCAAGGCGACGAUCCGUAACUGGUCUGAGAGGAUGAUCAGUCACACUGGAACUGAGACACGGUCCAGACUCCUACGGGAGGCAGCAGUGGGGAAUAUUGGACAAAGGGCGAAAGCCUGAUCCAGCCAUGCCGCGUGUGUGAAGAAGGUCUUCGGAUUGUAAAGCACUUUAAGUUGGGAGGAAGGGCAGUAAGUUAAUACCUUGCUGUUUUGACGUUACCCAAAGAAUAAGCACCGGCUAACUUCGUG
rnacentral:rRNA from 1 species